AACAAGUGGAGCCCAGAUUCCACUCCGCCAAGGCGGGAAAAAACGGGGCGGAUCCGAAAAGCCAAAUGAGUAGGAAAAUU
rfam:Bacteroidetes bacterium GWE2_42_42 gwe2_scaffold_110, whole genome shotgun sequence.